rnacentral:rRNA from 1 species
UACGAAGGGUGCAAGCGUUACUCGGAAUUACUGGGCGUAAAGCGUGCGUAGGUGGUUUGUUAAGUCUGUUGUGAAAGCCCCGGGCUCAACCUGGGAAUGGCAAUGGAUACUGGCAAGCUAGAGUGCGGUAGAGGGUAGUGGAAUUCCCGGUGUAGCGGUGAAAUGCGUAGAGAUCGGGAGGAACACCAGUGGCGAAGGCGGCUACCUGGACCAGCACUGACACUCAGGCACGAAAGCGUGGGGAGCAAACAGG